AUUUUGGAAAACAAGUGGCAACCAAAAUCACCGAAUCGCACUUCUGUCAAACUUACUGGAAGAUAUUUUUCAGUCUUCAAACUCGCUUAGAAUUAAUUACCUGCUAAGAAUCCCGAAGCUGACACUGAAACUCAUUGCUCGAAGCUUGUCGAAUAUGUGUUUUACUUGAAAUAUCCUUCGAUCUUGAAUGGUCGAAUAUUCUCGCACAAUCGAAAAAUCUGUCAGGCCCACUCACACUAUCACAUCUCCA
rnacentral:lncRNA from 1 species